AUUGAACGCUGGCGGCACGCCUAACACAUGCAAGUCGAGCGGCAGCAUGCUUAGUAGCAAUACUAAGUGAUGGCGAGCGGCGGACGGGUGAGGAACACGUAGGAACCUGCCCAAGAGUGGGGGAUAACUAAGGGAAACUUUAGCUAAUACCGCAUAAUUCUCUGAGGAGAAAAGUUGCCCGUAAGGGUAGCGCUUUUGGAGGGGACUGCGUCCGAUUAGCUAGUUGGUGAGGUAAUAGCUCACCAAGGCGAUGAUCGGUAACUGGUCUGAGAGGACGACCAGUCACACUGGGACUGAGACACGGCCCAGACUCCUACGGGAGGCAGCAGUGGGGAAUCUUGGACAAUGGGGGCAACCCUGAUCCAGCGAUGCCGCGUGGGUGAAGAAGGCCUUCGGGUUGUAAAGCCCUUUAGGCUGGGAAGAAGGAUGCGGGAUGAAUAAUCCUGUAUUUUGACGGUACCAGCAGAAUAAGCACCGGCAAACUCUGUGCCAGCCGCCGCCGUAA
rnacentral:rRNA from 1 species